CCUACGGGGGGCAGCAGUGGGGAAUAUUGCGCAAUGGGCGAAAGCCUGACGCAGCGACGCCGCGUGAGGGAUGAAGGUCUUCGGAUCGUAAACCUCUGUCAGCAGGGAAGAACGGUCACUGUGCUAAUCAGCAGUGAAUUGACGGUACCUGCAAAGGAAGCACCGGCUAACUCCGUGCCAGCAGCCGCGGUAAUACGGAGGGUGCGAGCGUUAAUCGGAAGGACUGGGCGUAAAGGGUGCGUAGGUGGUUGGACAAGUUGGUAGCGUAACUCCGAGGCUUAACCUCGGCACUACUACCAAAACUGUUGGACUGGAGUGCAGGAGGGGCAAAUGGAAUUCCUAGUGUAGCGGUGGAAUGCGUAGAUAUUAGGAGGAACACCAGUGGCGAAGGCGAUUUGCUGGACUGUAACUGACACUGAGGCACGAAAGCGUGGGGAGCAAACAGGAUUAGAUACCCCUGUAGUC
rnacentral:rRNA from 1 species